GAUGAACGCUGGCGGCGUGCCUAACACAUGCAAGUCGAGCGAAGCACUCUACUCGAUUUCUUCGGGAUGAAGGUUUAGUGACUGAGCGGGCGACGGGUGAAGGUAACGCGUGGGUAACCUGCCUCAUACAGGGGGAUAACAGUUAGAAAUGACUGCUAAUACCGCAUAAGCCCACAGCUCGGCAUCGAGCAGAGGGAAAAGGAGUGAUCCGCUUUGAGAUGGCCUCGCGUCCGAUUAGCUGGUUGGUGAGGUAACGGCCCACCAAGGCGACGAUCGGUAGCCGGACUGAGAGGUUGAACGGCCACAUUGGGACUGAGACACGGCCCAG
rnacentral:rRNA from 1 species